UACGGAGGAGGCAAGCGUUAUCCGGAAUUAUUGGGCGUAAAGCGUCCGCAGGUGGCGAUUCAAGUCUGCGGUUAAAGACUGGGGCUUAACCCUGGAAAGGCCGUGGAAACUGAAACGCUAGAGUGCAGUAGGGGUAGAGGGAAUUCCCGGUGUAGCGGUGAAAUGCGCAGAUAUCAGGAGGAACACCGGUGGCGAAGGCGGAUCUCUGGGCCUUACCUGACGCUGAGGCGCGAAAGCUAGGGGAGCGAACAGG
rnacentral:rRNA from 1 species